GAUGAACGCUGGCGGCGUGCCUAAUACAUACAAGUCGAGCGAACGGACGAGAAGCUUGCUUCUCUGAUGUUAGCGGCGGACGGGUGAGUAACACGUGGAUAACCUACCUAUAAGACUGGGAUAACUUCGGGAAACCGGAGCUAAUACCGGAUAAUAUUUUGAACCGCAUGGUUCAAAAGUGAAAGACGGUCUUGCUGUCACUUAUAGAUGGAUCCGCGCUGCAUUAGCUAGUUGGUAAGGUAACGGCUUACCAAGGCAACGAUGCAUAGCCGACCUGAGAGGGUGAUCGGCCACACUGGAACUGAGACACGGUCCAGACUCCUACGGGAGGCAGCAGUAGGGAAUCUUCCGCAAUGGGCGAAAGCCUGACGGAGCAACGCCGCGUGAGUGAUGAAGGUCUUCGGAUCGUAAAACUCUGUUAUUAGGGAAGAACAUAUGUGUAAGUAACUGUGCACAUCUUGACGGUACCUAAUCUGAAAGCCACGGCUAACUACGUG
rnacentral:rRNA from 1 species